rnacentral:lncRNA from 1 species
CAGGAGUCACUCGUUGUACAGCUGGAAAGAGGGUUUGGAGGUGCUGGGGGGUGGAGGGGUACAUUUUUUUCCUAUGAUAGUAAGUAAGGCCUUUCGAAAUUAGUAGGUUUGGGCAAUCUACGAAGCAUAAGUGAGUAUUUAAGGUAUGUUUGUUUGAGUUGGAGGAUUUUAUAUGGCCUAGCUGGCCUUGAACUCAGUAUAUAGCCAUGGCCAGCCCUAACCUUCCCUUCAGCUGGUGGGAUUGCAGAUGUGUACUACAAAGUUAAGUUAUGGAUGUGGGGUAUGAAACUAGGCCUCAUGUAUGUUAGGCACACGUCUGCCAACAGCUCUAGAGAAUAUUUUAACAAUGAAGAUACUCCAGUCUACCUAGUGUAAUACUAGAAAAUAUUUAGCUGGGCCCCGUGAAUCUCAGCACUUGGGAGGCAAAGGCAAUUGGAUCUCUGAGUUCAAGGCCAGCCCAGUCUACAGAGUGAGUUCCAGGACAGCCAGGGCUACACAGAGAAGCCCUGAUUUGAAAAACCAAAAAAGAAAAAAUAUACAUCUGGAAAGAGGGUUAGACACUAAGAUGUAAAAAUAUCUUAAACCUUCAGGUAAUUUAUGUUUCAUUUUAUAAGCAGGGAAAAGUACUGAAGGUCAAGUAGAGUUGAAAUGCCAGAACUGUGAAGUUCAAAGUACUAAUGCUCACUUCCUCCCGAGAUGCACCAGGAAGUUUAUUACAUUUAUGUACUGAGGGCAGAGCACAUGUGCAGUCCAGAGCACAGCUUGCAUGAGCCGGUCUCCUUCCUCUGUGGAUCCUGGGGUCAAACUCUGGGCAUUGCUCUUGGCAGCAAACACCUUUGCCUACUGCACCGUCUUGCCAGCCCUAAUCCUGAGUUUAGUGCAGACUAUUUCUCUUCCUUCUUCUAGAAACAACAAGAUAAAAAUCCCUAUGAAGUCCUAAACACAGCCUUCUUCCAUAUCAGCUGAGGAAAACAACUGCUCUGGGUUCCCCGUCAGGGUUGGGUGACGGUCACCUAUGUAGCUGCAGGGCGGAUGUUAGACCUUUCCUGAACCUCAGACCCUGUGACUCCUAAGGUGCCUCCUCUCCUCUGACUCCAACUCCUGUUGACUCACAGACAGUGAAGUUUCUGAGAAGCUGUCGCCUAGAAGUGGGCAUGAAGAACAAUGUCAAAUGGGAACUGAA